CCUACGGGUGGCAGCAGUGGGGGAUAUUGCACAAUGGGGGGAACCCUGAUGCAGCGACGCCGCGUGGGUGAAGGAGCGUUUCGGCGCGUAAAGCCCUAUCGGCAGGGAAGAAGAUGACGGUACCUGACCAAGAAGCCCCGGCUAACUACGUGCCAGCAGCCGCGGGAAUACGUAGGGGGCACGCGUGAUCCGGAUUUACUGGGUGUAAAGGGGGCGCAGACGGCAAGGCAAGCCAGGGGUGAAAGCCCGGGGCCCAACCCGGGGACUGCACUUGGUACUGCAUGGCUGGAGUACAGGAGGGGCAGGCGGAAGUCCUAGUGUAGCGGUGAAAUGCGUAGAUAUGAGGAGGAAUACCGGAGGCGAAGGCGGCCGGCUGGAC
rnacentral:rRNA from 1 species